GGGAAAAGCAUUUUAUCACAUGGGAACUUCCUGUGCAAAGACCCUGAGACUAGAGAAGGCAUGACAUAUUCUGAGAUCCGUGGACGAUAUGGGGACACUAGAGUAGGGAGGACAAGAGACAGACUGUGACCAUUCUAAGUCACGGGAAGGAUUUGGACUUUGAUUUUACAGGCUCCAAGGAAAACAAGCCACUGAAGGGGGAUGUAAGCAAAGGCAUGAUAGUAUCAGCUUUUCAUUCCAAGGGAUCAUUCCAGCUAAAGAUCGCAGCACAUAAUCAUUGGUUGAAGCUGAUGGGUGACAGCCAAAGGAGAAAAAGGAAGGAGACUUACAAAGUAAAAACAGAGUGUUCUAGGACCUGCCUCUCAAAGUGACCGCCAUGAACCACCAGCCUCAGCAUGUGAGAUUGCUGAACCUCAGGUGACCCUGCAGAGCAAUGAACAGGGAAUCUCGUUUUCACAGGACUUCCAGAUAAUUCUAGUGCUUGUCAUAGUUUCAGAAACACAGCACUCGAAGAUCAAUUUGAAUAAACUAAAAUAAGAAAAGACGGCAGACAGGGAAGCAAAUGAAGUGUCUUCUGCAGGCUGUUAGCAUGACCUUUUAAGGAUCUUGUUUGUGAUUAAUGAGAGACAUGAGAAGAGACAAGUGAUGUGAAUGAAGAAUCAAAAGGCAUGAUACCUGCACGAUUAGGGAGAUGAUGCACAGACAACACAGAAAGUGGGCAACUGGAAGAAGGAAGAAGAAGAAUGCCAGGACCAUGAUGGACGCAGGAAAGUCAAGGACAGGGUAGGGUGGAGGGCAGCUGAUACGUCGAGAGAGAAUAAGAAAUGGCCUUUUGAACACGUUGAGUAGAAAUUUCCAGGACAGCCUAACCACGGAGGUCUUCAAAUGAUGUCGUGGAAGAUCCAAUGGAGGGAAGGGCAGCAUGCAUUCCUCAUGAAGGGAGGACCAUUCUUUGGGGCUCCACUCUAUUUUCAGUUCCUACAGCAGUAAUGGGCAUAGAACUGGCACUGAAAAAAAAAAAGAAAAAUGUUAAUCAAUGAGGAAGGGACACAUAGUGUGAUGCACAGACCACCUGCCUGCAGGUGCCCUUGGGAGCUUGUUAUAAAUGCAUCUCUAGGACCCACCCAAGCCCUACUUCCCACUCUCUCAGGGUAGACCUUGAAAUACGAACUUUUACCAAGCUAAGAGAUUCUGAGACUUUCUCAAAUUUGAGGCUUUCAAUUAUAAAGACAAAAAAAUCAAAGCAAGGGAGGACUCAAGAUAAAGAAUUUGGAUGAUGUCCACCACUAGGAAAAAGAAGCGUGUAAUGAAGAAAGAGAAGUAAAGUGAACGCAAAAGUGGC
rnacentral:lncRNA from 1 species